rnacentral:rRNA from 1 species
AAAUCCGCGCAACAAGCCAGAGGUGUGACGGGGAGCGAAAUAAAAGUAGCGAAGUCCGGAUACAUGCUGUCAAGAAAAGCCGCUAUUGCGCCAUAUGUACCCGUACCGUAAACCGACACAGGUGGAUGAGGAGAGAAUCCUAAGGCCGGCGGGAGAAGUGUUGUAAAGGAACUCGGCAAAAUGGCCCCGUAACUUCGGGAGAAGGGGCGCCCAGAAAUGGGCCGCAGAGAAAAGGCUCAAGCAACUGUUUAGCAAAAACACAGGUCUAUGCGAAACCGAAAGGUGAGGUAUAUGGGCUGACGCCUGCCCGGUGCUGGAAGGUUAAGGGGAGAGGUUAGCCGCAAGGCGAAGCUUUGAACUUAAGCCCCAGUAAACGGCGGCCGUAACAAUAACGGUCCUAAGGUAGCGAAAUUCCUUGUCGGGUAAGUUCCGACCCGCACGAAAGGCGUAACGAUUUGAGCACUGUCUCGACAACACACCCGGUGAAAUUGAAAUACCAGUGAAGAUGCUGGUUACCUGCGCCAGGACGGAAAGACCCCAUGGAGCUUUACUCUAGUUUGAUACUGGGACCCGGUAUGACAUGUACAGGAUAGGUGGGAGGCAGAGAAUUAAUGACGCCAGUCAUUAAGGAGCCGGUGUUGGGAUACCACCCUUGUGAUGCCAGGUUUCUAACGAGCUGCCGUGAACCGGCAGGCGGACAAUGUCAGGCGGGGAGUUUGACUGGGGCGGUCGCCUCCGAAAGGGUAUCGGAGGCGCUCAAAGGUUCCCUCAGAAUGGUUGGAAACCAUUCGGAGAGUGCAAAGGCAGAAGGGAGCCUGACUGCGACACCGACGGGUGGAGCAGGUACGAAAGUAGGACUUAGUGAUCCGGUGGUAUAAAGUGGGAUUGCCAUCGCUCAACGGAUAAAAGCUACCCUGGGAUAACAUGCUUAUCACUCCCAAGAGUUCACAUCGACGGAGUGGUUUGGCACCUCGAUGUCGGCUCAUCGCAUCCUGGGGCUGGAGUAGGUCCCAAGGGUUGGGCUGUUCGCCCAUUAAAGCGGUACGCGAGCUGGGUUCAGAACGUCGUGAGACAGUUCGGUCCCUAUCCGGCGCGGGCGUAAGAGAUUUGAGAGGAGCUGUCCUUAGUACGAGAGGACCGGGAUGGACGGACCACUGGUGUAUCUGUUGCACCACCAGGUGCACGGCAGAGUAGCCAAGUCUGGAAGGGAUAAACGCUGAAGGCAUCUAAGCGUGAAGCCCCCCUCAAGAUAAGAUCUCUCAUUCGGAAGAAGUAAGACCCCUUGAAGACGACGAGGUAGAUAGGGCAGGGGUGGAAGGGCAGUAAUGUCCGGAGCUGACUGUUACUAAUCGGUCGAGGGCUUGACC